rnacentral:rRNA from 1 species
AUGGCACCCUUAGAACUAGCCGAGCUUAAGAAACAACUUGAUGAGUCCUUGCAAAAGGGUUUCAUCCGUCCUAGUUCUUCUCCUUGGGCUUUCCCCGUCCUCUUCGUCAAGAAGAAGGAUGGUACGGACCGGAUGGUUGUAGAUUAUCGUCCCAAUAAUUUGGUCACGAUAAAGUACAAGUAUCCGCUCCCCAGGAUCAGCGACCUGUAUGAUCAGCUCGCUAGAUCCUCAGUCUUCUCCAAGAUGGAUUUGAGGUUAGGCUACCACCAAAUCAAGAUCAAAAAUGGGGACAUCCCUAAAACGGCUUUUGUCACUCGUUAUGGUCAGUACGAGUACACCGUCAUGUCCUUCGGUCUAACCAACGCUCCAGCUACAUUCUCCCACUUGGUGAACUCGAUCUUCAUGGAGUACUUAGAUAAAUUCAUCGUGGUUUAUCUCGAUGAUAUUCUUAUUUACUCGAAGAACGAGGAAGAGCAUGCCGAACAUCUUAGACUUGUGUUAGAAAAACUCAGAGAGCACCGCCUUUAUGCCAAGUUCUCCAAUUGCGAAUUUUGGUUGCCAGAAGUGACCUACCUAGGACACGUAAUCUCUGGUAAGGGCAUUGCUGUCGACCCUGAGAGAGUUAAGGCUGUUCUCGAUUGGACUCCACCUGAAACCGUUAAACAAGUUAGGAGUUUCCUUGGUCUAGCCAGCUAUUGUCGCCGCUUUGUUGAAAACUUCUCCAAAGUAGCCAAACCCCUCACGGAACUUCUCAAGAAAGAUAAAAAGUUUGAGUGGUCCCCACAGUGUGAAUACAGUUUUCAAGAACUGAAAAGACGCCUGACUUCUGCUCCCAUACUUGUGCCACCGGAUUUCACUAAGGACUUUGUUAUCUACUGUGACGCCUCACGACAGGGACUAGGUUGCAUUCUUAUGCAGGAUCGUCAUGUGAUUGCCUAUGCAUCUCGACAGUUGCAUCCACAUGAGGAGAAUUAUCCUACACAUGACCUAGAGCUUGCAGCCGUAGUCUAUGCACUCAAGAUCUGGCGACAUUACCUUCUUGGUAAACGUUGCGAGAUCUACACCGAUCACCAGAGUCUCAAGUAUAUCUUCACCCAGCCACAUUUGAACCUUAGGCAAAGACAUUUGUUGGAAGUGGUCUCAGAUUAUGAUCUAGGGAUUACCUACACCUCAAGCAAAGCCAAUGUCAUGGCUGAUGCUCUAAGCCGUAAAUCCUAUUGCAACAAUCUCAUGUUGCAGCAAGGCCAACCACUUCUCCAUGAGGAAUUCUAUAAGCUUAACCUUCACAUUGCUCCUCACGGAUUCCUUUCUACCUUGGUGGCGAAACCUACCCUCGAGGAUCAGAUCAUUACUGACCAGAAGUUUCAUAGGGGUGUUAUCCUCAUCAAGAGAAACAUUAAGAAGGGAGUUGGUGGAUGUUUCUCUAUGGAUGAUCGAGGUGUUGUUUUCUUUGAGAAUCGAUUGGUGGUUCCCAAAAAUCAACAUCUGCGAGAAUUAAUUCUUAAGGAGGCGCAUGAAUCCCCUCUCACGAUUCAUCCCGGUAGUACUAAGAUGUAUCAGGACCUACGCCAGAGGUUCUGGUGGACUAGGAUGAAGAGAGAAAUUGCUCAGUUCAUUGCCAACUGUGACGUUUGUCGUCGCAUUAAGGCGGAGCAUUAG